AUUGAACGCUGGCGGCAGGCCUAACACAUGCAAGUCGAACGAGUGGCGGACGGGUGAGUAAUGUCUGGGAAACUGCCCGAUGGAGGGGGAUAACUACUGUAAACGGUAGCUAAUACCGCAUACCAUCGGAUGUGCCCAGAUGGGAUUAGCUUGUAGGUGAGGUAACGGCUCACCUAGGCGACGAUCCCUAGCUGGUCUGCGAGGAUGACCAGACACACUGGAACGGAGAAACGGUCCAUACUCCUACGGGAGGCAGCAGGGGGAAAUAUUGCACAAUGGGCACAAGCCUGAGGCAGCCAGGCCGCGUGUAGGAAGAAGGCCUUCGGGUUGUAAAGUACUUUCAGCGGGGAGGCGUUACCCGAAGAAGAAGCACCGGCUAACUCCGUGCCAGCAGCCGCGGUAAUAC
rnacentral:rRNA from 1 species